GAUGAAGAACGUAGCGAAAUGCGAUACUUGGUGUGAAUUGCAGAAUCCCGUGAACCAUCGAGUCUUUGAACGCAAGUUGCGCCCGAAGCCACUAGGCCGAGGGCACGCCUGCCUGGGCGUCACACGUCGUUCCCCCCCCAUCUACUCCUUCGGGAUUGCGGGGGGCGGAUGAUGGCCUCCCGUGCGCCUCGCCGCGCGGUUGGCAUAAAUACCAAGUCCUCGGCGACGCACGCCACGACAAUCGGUGGUUGCGAAACCUCGGUUGCCCGUCGUGUGCGUUCGUCGCGCAUCGAGGGCUCGAAAAAAUGCUCGGCUCCGGCUGGGCUUUCAACGCGACCCCAGGUCAGGCGGGGUUACCCGCUGAAUUUAAGCAUAUCAAUAAGCGGAGGA
rnacentral:misc_RNA from 1 species